rnacentral:rRNA from 1 species
GGUGGAUGCCUUGGCAGCCAGAGGCGAUGAAGGACGUUGUAGCUUGCGAUAAGCUUCGGGGAGGUAGCAAACAACCUUUGAUCCGGAGAUUUCCGAAUGGGGAAACCCACCUGUCAUAAGGCAGGUAUCGCAUACUGAAUACAUAGGUAUGCGAGGCGAACGAGGGGAAAGAGAGAGUAGAAAAACGAGGAA